rnacentral:rRNA from 1 species
GAUGAACGCUGGCGGCGUGCCUAAUACAUGCGAGUCGAGCGAACAGACGAGGAGCUUGCUCCUCUGACGUUAGCGGCGGGCGGGUGAGUAACACGUGGAUAACCUACCUAUAAGACUGGGAUAACUUCGGGAAACCGGAGCUAAUACCGGAUAAUAUAUUGAACCGCAUGGUUCAAUAGUGAAAGACGGUUUUGCUGUCACUUAUAGAUGGAUCCGCGCCGCAUUAGCUAGUUGGUAAGGUAACGGCUUACCAAGGCAACGAUGCGUAGCCGACCUGAGAGGGUGAUCGGCCACACUGGAACUGAGACACGGUCCAGACUCCUACGGGAGGCAGCAGUAGGGAAUCUUCCGCAAUGGGCGAAAGCCUGACGGAGCAACGCCGCGUGAGUGAUGAAGGUCUUCGGAUCGUAAAACUCUGUUAUUAGGGAAGAACAAAUGUGUAAGUAACUAUGCACGUCUUGACGGUACCUAAUCAGAAAGCCACGGCGAACUACGU